UACGAAGGGGGCUAGCGUUGCUCGGAAUCACUGGGCGUAAAGCGGACGUAGGCGGCUUGUUAAGUCAGGGGUGAAAUCCUGGAGCUCAACUCCAGAACUGCCUUUGAUACUGGCGAGCUUGAGUUCGGGAGAGGUGAGUGGAACUGCGAGUGUAGAGGUGAAAUUCGUAGAUAUUCGCAAGAACACCAGUGGCGAAGGCGGCUCACUGGCCCGAUACUGACGCUGAGGUGCGAAAGCGUGGGGAGCAAACAGG
rnacentral:rRNA from 1 species